rnacentral:rRNA from 1 species
CAGUCGCCGCGGGAAUACGUAGGUGGCAAGCGUUGUCCGGAAUUAUUGGGCGUAAAGGGCUCGCAGGCGGUUUCUUAAGUCUGAUGUGAAAGCCCCCGGCUCAACCGGGGAGGGUCAUUGGAAACUGGGAAACUUGAGUGCAGAAGAGGAGAGUGGAAUCCCACGUGUAGCGGUGAAAUGCGUAGAGAUGUGGAGGAACACCAGUGGCGAAGGCGACUCUCUGGUCUGUAACUGACGCUGAGGAGCGAAAGCGUGGGGAGCGAACAGGAUUAGAUACCCCGGUAGUCCCUGUCUCUUAUAC